rnacentral:rRNA from 1 species
GGAUCAUUACAGAGUUACUUAACUCCAAACCCUGUGAACUAUACUUGUUUUGUUGCCUCGGCAGGUCGUGAUUCAUCGUAGGACUUACCCUGUAAACCUACCCUGUAGCACACUCCAGACCUGCCGGCGGACCAAUCCAACUCUUGAUUAAUGUGUCUCUGAAUAUUAUAACUAAAUACGUUAAAACUUUCAACAACGGAUCUCUUGGUUCUGGCAUCGAUGAAGAACGCAGCGAAAUGCGAUAAGUAAUGUGAAUUGCAGAAUUCAGUGAAUCAUCGAAUCUUUGAACGCACAUUGCGCCCAUUAGUAUUCUAGUGGGCAUGCCUGUUCGAGCGUCAUUUCAACCCUUAAGCCCUGUUGCUUAGUGUUGGGAGCCUGCCUAACCGCAGCUCCUCAAAGUCAGUGGCGGAGUUGGGUCGCACUCUGAGCGUAGUAAUUCUUCUCGCUUUUGAAGGUGGCCUUCUUCUAGCCAUUAAACACCCAAUUUUUAAUGGUUGACCUCGGAUCAGGUAGGAAUACCCGCUGAACUUAAGCAUAUCAAUAAGCGGAGGAAAAGAAACCAACAGGGAUUGCCCUAGUAACGGCGAGUGAAGCGGCAACAGCUCAAAUUUGAAAGCUGGCCUUCUGGUCCGCAUUGUAAUUUGUAGAGGAUGCUUUUGGCGCGGUGCCUUCCGAGUUCCCUGGAACGGGACGCCUUAGAGGGUGAGAGCCCCGUACGGUUGGACACCAAGCCUCUGUAAAGCUCCUUCGACGAGUCGAGUAGUUU